rnacentral:ncRNA from 2 species
UUGAAUAAGGAACGCUGCGACAGGAUCUUCCUGCUAGGCUUAUUCAAGCAGUCAAAUUUUAACUGCGUUCAUUAUUA